UUGCCUUAACUUUAUGAGUAAGGAAAAUAAAGAUUCAGGGUGAUGGUGAUUCCUCAUUGCUAAUGUGAGAUUAAUUUUUGAGCUGGUAAAGAUUUCCCUAUAGUGACCUGCCUACUUUUCAGAAGGCCUGGGAGUCAGGAUCUGUCCA
rnacentral:snRNA from 1 species